AUGAAUAUAUUCCUCCUCUUUCCCUGUAAGUACAAUAAAUCUGGACCCUCCAUCUGUCCCACUUUAUGAAGCAUGAGAUAACAUGUAGAUUUCCUACUAGAUUUUCCCAUCUUUUCAUGUUUUAACACAAACCUUUCACUUUUGCCAAGGUUGGUUAGAUAGAUAGAUAUAGAUUUAGUUUUGUCCAUGUCCUACAUUUCCAUUUCUACAGCUCCAAGUGCAAAACGUCAAAUAAAUCACAUCCUCUUUUGACUCAUCUUCUCUACCUCUUUGGAUUCUCAUUCACUUGGUGGAUUUAUCCUUCUAUUUGUCAUAGGAGUCAAUUGCUAAAUGAUCAUUUACUCAAGUGCAAAAUUCAUAGU